ACCAAAGCCUUGUGAAUAGAUUUGGUUGUUGGAAACUGAAAAAGUUUAUCAUAUAUAUAUAUAUGUGUGUGUGUGUGUGUGUGUGUGUGUGU